UACGAAGGGGGCUAGCGUUGUUCGGAAUCAUUGGGCGUAAAGCGCACGUAGGCGGACCGCUAAGUCGGAUGUGAAAGCCCUCGGCUUAACCGAGGAAGUGCAUUCGAAACUGACGGUCUUGAGUAUGGAAGAGGGUCGCGGAAUUCCCGGUGUAGAGGUGAAAUUCGUAGAUAUCGGGAGGAACACCGGUGGCGAAGGCGGCGACCUGGGUAGAUACUGACGCUGAGGUGCGAAAGCGUGGGGAGCAAACAGG
rnacentral:rRNA from 1 species